GGGCUUGCUCCUUAAGAAAGUGGCGCACGGGUGCGUAACGCGUAUGCAACCUACCUUAAUCAGGGGGAUAGCCCGAAGAAAUUCGGAUUAACACCGCAUAAAAACACAGAGUAGCAUUACUCAAUGUUCAAAUAUUUAUAGGAUUAAGAUGGGCAUGCGUGUCAUUAGCUAGUUGGCGGGGUAACGGCCCACCAAGGCGACGAUGACUAGGGGAUCUGAGAGGAUGACCCCCCACACUGGUACUGAGACACGGACCAGACUCCUACGGGAGGCAGCAGUAAGGAAUAUUGGUCAAUGGAGGCAACUCUGAACCAGCCAUGCCGCGUGCAGGAAGACGGCCCUAUGGGUUGUAAACUGCUUUUAUCUGGGAAUAAACCUACUUACGUGUAAGUAGCUGAAUGUACCAGAAGAAUAAGGAUCGGCUAACUCCGUGCCAGCAGCCGCGGUAAUACGGAGGAUCCAAGCGUUAUCCGGAUUUAUUGGGUUUAAAGGGUGCGUAGGCGGCCUGUUAAGUCAGAGGUGAAAGACGGUAGCUCAACUAUCGCAGUGCCUUUGAUACUGACGGGCUUGAAUAAACUAGAGGUAGGCGGAAUGAGACAAGUAGCGGUGAAAUGCAUAGAUAUGUCUCAGAACACCGAUUGCGAAGGCAGCUUACUAUGGUUUUAU
rnacentral:rRNA from 1 species